AUGGAAAAAUACAUUCAAGAAAGGUCAAUGCUACCACCAUUCCCCUCUGCCCCUCCACUCCUGAGGCCAUCAUGAUGAAGCCAGUGGGAACUCCAGUGGAAGGACCCAGACAGGAAUAAGAUCACCUGGGCCUUCACCUUCCUUCACCGACCGAGAGCUCUUCUCUUCCUGCGCUUUUAUUUUAAUCUAGGACAUCCCCUCACUUGGCUCCUAGAGGCCCUGUUUCAUUUAAUUUGGCCUCCUUGCCCAAGCAGAAUCCUGGGCAAGCCUGGGAACCUAAUACCCUGAAUUCAAAUGAAGUUGCCUGGAGGAAACUGAAUGAAUCAGGUAGCUAAGAUUUGGCCUAACGUUGAUCUAUUUUUGGCCAAAGCCAACCUCCACUAAUAGGUCUCUACUAAUAGACUUGCAAAGAUGGAGCUCUGAAUCAAUGCUAAACAAGAGUUAUAAAUCAUGAAGACGUUUGCUGUCUUUUUACCUCCCAGGGAUGGGAGUGAAUGGGAGAGGACUCUGACCAUGAAGCGCUCUAAUCUAAACUCGGAGAAAAUUCUCCCAGCCAUUCUUCUGCUCACAGAAUUUCCGCGGCACCAGUCUCCCUGCAGCUUUGACAAGUGAGCUAUUUUAGUAUGAGAACAAGUAGAGUUAUUGUUAUCUCUGCUCUGAAUCAAGGAUAAAAAGAAAAGGUGAGCGGGAGAAGGAGGGUGUGAGAGAGAAGAACUGGGGGUGAGGUGCGGAAAAGCAGAAAGGACUUCAGAUACCGAAAGAAAAGGAGCCAGGUGCUCUUCCCGGCAAGGAAGUCACCAGCCGGCCGGUUUGUGGAUUGAAAUCAGCACGUGACCCCUCAGCAACCAUAGUAACAGUCCCUCCCUCUGGUCUCACAGGGCUCUGGAGGGGUGAAGACAGCACGAUACAUGCCAAGGUGCCUUGUCAGUGGUGAAGUGUUGUCUACACAGGGUGGCAGCUCCCUGUUUGACCAGGGAGCUACUGCGCCUUUCCCACAACCCCACCCAAAGACUCAGGACGGCCCAGGCCAGAAGGAAAUUUAGACAGUAGACCCUCCGUCAGCAGAUACCUUUCCCUGCUCUUCCUACCGGGUCACCUAGACCCUUAACAAGGGUGCUAUUUUAGCAAGAAACUGAAAAUAAAAAGAGAAUCUGCCCUCCGAACAUGCUGAACACUUAUUUUAGCACACAGCCCCAUGGAGGGUCAGCGCUCCACGCAUGUUUUAAAGCGUUUGUGCCUAUUUAUUUUGAGACCGGCAGGGCCUGAGUGAGCCACAGCUUCCUGGAUUCUGCUUUGUCAGCAAGGAAGAUUUGCUGCCAUAGAUAUGCUGAGCUCCCUCUGGGGCCCCCCUUCUCCUGGAAUCUGACUGAGAUGAGAAGUUUAUCCCAGCACUUAAAUGAAGAGACUUCCUCCAGCUCCCACUUCUGCCUCACCCCUCCGCCUACCACUGACAAACAGGCCUGGCUGCAAGGUGUGCGUGUCACCAGGACCUGGCCACCAGAGGGCGACAGAGAGCAAUGAGGGUCGAACAGUUUCCCAGAAGGAGCCAAAUCCCCUGACACAUCUGCUCCCUCCUCCAGCCCAAAAACUGCCAGACUUGCUAGCAUUUGCCAGUCCACCGAAACAAACA
rnacentral:lncRNA from 1 species